GCCUCCAGCUAAGGAGCCGCGGCUGGGCUAGGGGCGACUUCCUUGUUUGUAUGAGCGAAAAGACUGAACCAAAAGAGACAGGGGGUGAAAACAAGAUAGGUCUGUGGAAGAGACCUGUAGGCGGAGAGCGGUCCCUGUUUUCCUGGAGAAAGACGAGUCGCAAGAUAUCAUCACCAGGGGAAACCAGGCUGAGCUGGAUCUUUACGUCGUCACCAGUGGGCGGGGAGACCAGCCUUGUACCCACUGGACAGCGGGCCCAUUCCGAGUCAGGGAAGCAGAAGGCCUGGAGGAGCUUCGGGGAGCAGGGGCUGGAGUUCCUCUGCCAGGCAGGAGGCUGACACCAGACACCGGGCAGAGGGAGGCGGCGCAUGGACGGCGAGGGCCCAGCAAGGAUUCUCCCCAGCCCCUGUGCCUGCGUCUCCUGCGGCUUCUGUGCGCGGACCGUGUCCUGUGCUGUGUAGGGAAAGCUGCUUCUCUGCUUGGGACGUGGAUUCCUUUACCCUCCUCCUCGCCUGACUACUUCUGACGCGGGUCGUCAGGACUCCGCUUGGGUGUCACCCGUCCAGGAAGCCUCCCUUAAUUAAGGGCCCUCGGCACCCACCCCAUAUGUGAUUAGCAGCCCUCCUGUGUAUUUCAUCGCACCUCGUUGUUUAUAUCAACUACUCCACUCACCACCCUUCUGGGCAGUCCUUUAUCUCCCCCUCUGAAAUCCGAUCGCUGAGGGCUGGGACCCUCAUCAGUACUUAUCCCCGUUUCUCUGCGCUAGUCUAAUUAGUGCCUGGCAAGUUGAAGGCGCUCAGUAAACGUUUGUGGAGCGAAGAAACGACGGAUAGGGCGUAAUGAGCACGACACACGCAAUCAGAGAGGACGCAGUUAGGAGGCUAUUGGCCCGGGGCAGGCGUGAAGGGGGAAGAUCGGGCUCGGGGUGGGAGGACACCAGAGGGCGGGGUGACUGUCGGGGUGCUCUGGAGGAAGAUGGGCGUCAAGGCCCCCAGCAAGGUUGGGAUAAAUUUUCUCUCUGAGGCACAGACUGCCGCCUGUAGCGUCAGCAUUUACCAUUCCCGUCCUCCUUCCUAACACAACAGUUGAGAUGAGAGUUUAUGGCUCUUUUAUUUGAUUUCAGAAAAGCAAGAAGGUAUCAUAGAUCCGAUAGUGACACUCAGUCAGUCAUGCUCCCCCUGCAGGAUGGAAAGCCGGAUGGCAGGGAUUGCCUGGUGAACAACCAGGUCAAAAAAUAUAAACUGUGCCUUUCCCAAUGCCAGCCUCGGGUCCGAGGGCUCUACGUGCAUUAUCUCUUUUAGUUCACUCGACAGCCCUAAGAGAUGGGCGUUAUUAUUAGCCACGGCCAGGAUUAGGGUGAGGUCAUUCCUCUAGGUUCGAAUUUCAGGGGGUGAUCCUCCAGAACCCUUCAGUAAUCAAAAUAAAUAAUAGUUCAAUGCAAUAUAUCUUAUCUCGAUUAUAAGA
rnacentral:lncRNA from 1 species